rnacentral:tRNA from 1 species
AAUAUGUUAGGAUAAUUAAAAGUCUGUAAGAUUCAUAUUCUUAAGGUAUUUCAUGUUU